CUAAAUACUACCCAGUGACCGAUAGCGUAUAGUACUGUGAAGGAAAGGUGAAAAGCACCCCGGGAGGGGAGUGAAAUAGAACCUGAAACCCUGUGCCUACAAGCACCUAGAGCACGUCAAUGUGUGAUAGGGUACUUUUUGUAGAACGGUCCGGCGAGCGAUUGUAUGCAGCAAGGUUAAGGACUUAAGGUCUGGAGCCGAAGCGAAAGCGAGUUUGAAAAGGGCGUUAAGUUGCAUACAAUGGGCCCGAAACCGGGUGACCUACCCAUGGUCAGGUUGAAGUGGAAGUAAAAUUCCAUGGAGGACCGAACCGACCUCCGUUGAAAAGGCGGCGGAUGAACUGUGGGUAGCGGAGAAAUUCCAAUCGAACCCGGAGAUAGCUGGUUCUCCCCGAAAUAGUUUUAGGACUAGCCUCAAGUUAGAUACCUGGAGGUAAAGCACUGAAUAGCCUAGCGGCCGAGAGGUUAGCGAAGCUUAUCAAACUCAGAAUGCCAGAGUAUUGAUGCUUGGGAGUCAGACAGUGUCAGAUAAAUGUCAUUGUCAAAAGGGAAACAGCCCAGAUCUACAGCUAAGGUCCCAAAGUCAGGUUAAGUGGAAAACGAUGUGAAGAUACGUAGACAACCAGGAUGUUGGCUCAGAAGCAGCCACACAUUCAAAGAGUGCGUAAUAGCUCACUGGUCGAGCGUCUUUGCGCGGAGAAUUUAACGGGGCUAAACCUGACACCGAAGCUUAGGCAAUACAGCAAUGUAUUGGGUAGGGGAGCGUUGUAUACGCGGUGAAACAGUAGCGCAAGCGGCUGUGGAGUGUAUAGAAGUGAGAAUGCCGGAAUGAGUAGCGCGAAUGCAGUGAGAAUCUGCAUGGCCGAAAGCCUCAGGUUUCUGGAGGAAGGUUCGUCCGCUCCAGGUUAGUCGGGAGCUAAGGUGAGGCCUAACGGCGUAGCCGAUGCACAGACGGUAGAGAUUCCGUCACCACCAAAAGAGUUAAGCACAGGGACACAUUUGAAGUCUCAGAGCCGGGUGUUGGUUCCGGUAGAGAUCGAGGGAAAUUAGUACCGAAGUCUGAGAUGGAAGAUGGCGAGAAAAGCUGUGUGUAUUUCUGAGGUGCCCGUACCGCAAACCGACACAGGUAGGUAGGAAGAAGAUUCUAAGGCCAACGGGAGAAGGGUUGUUAAGGAACUCGGCAAAUUGACCCCGUAACUUCGGGAGAAGGGGUGCUCCAGAGAUGGAGCCGCAGAGAAUCGGCCCAAGCAACUGUUUACCAAAAACACAGGUUUGUGCUAAAUCGAAAGAUGACGUAUACGAGCUGACGCCUGCCCGGUGCUGGAAGGUUAAGAGGAGAUGUGCAAGCAUUGAAUCGAAGCCCCAGUGAACGGCGGCCGUAACUAUAACGGUCCUAAGGUAGCGAAAUUCCUUGUCAGGUAAGUUCUGACCCGCAUGAAAGGCGUAAUGAUUUGGGCACUGUCUCAACAGCCCGCCCGGCGAAAUUGUAGUACCGGUGAAGAUGCCGGUUACCCGCGACAAGACGGAAAGACCCCAUGGAGCUUUACUGUAGCCUAAUAUUGGGUUUCGAUGUUGCAUGCACAGGAUAGAUGGGACACUGGGAAGUGAUCGCUUUGGCGGUCAUGGAGUGGCCGUUGGGAUACCAUCCUUGCGAUAUUGGAAUUCUAACCUGCGCCUUUGAAUCAAGGCGGGGGACAUUGUUAGGUGGGCAGUUUGACUGGGGCGGUCGCCUCCUAAAGAGUAACGGAGGCGUUCAAAGGUUCGCUCAGCUUGAACGGAAAUCAAGCAAAAGAGUGCAAACGCAGAAGCGAGCCUAACUGCGAGACUGACGGGUCGAGCAGUAACGAAAGUUGGAGUUAGUGAUCCGGUGGUAUGUGAGUGGAAAUGCCAUCGCUCAACGGAUAAAA
rnacentral:rRNA from 1 species